GUGUUUACUUUGGCAACACAUAAACUAAAAAAAUUGGAAUGAUACAGAGAUUAGCUUGGCCCCUGUGCAAGGAUGACAUGAAAAUUUGUGAAGCAUCCCAUAUUUUU
rnacentral:snRNA from 1 species